CGAGUUUCAGGCGCGUGCCGCGUUGCUUGCUGGACUGACACCCGCUGCUCCACGGCGGGGGCGACCUCCACCUGGGACGGACUGGUGCAAUGCCGCCUGGCAAUAAAGAUCCCGCCUUUCGUAAAGCUCACUGACGAUCCAAAUGCAACAAUUUAUUUUUGGCCAGGGAAGAGUAAAUUAGGUAACUACGAAGUAAGAGAAGACGGCCUUCUUUAUCUACAGUCGUCCUGGAAACAGAGUCUCACACUUGUUCAGAAGUGGUGUGGAAAAAUUCCCGGGCACCGGUUGCCCACCAUUAAGACGCCCAGCCACCUGCUUGCCGUCACCACCUACAUGCAGGAAACAGGGAGAAAACCUUGGCUGGACCUGAAACUCGAGAACGGAGUACUGGUGUGGGGAGACGACACGCCCUUUGACAACACCACAGUGUCCAGCACCCUAACAGUGUUACCACCUGAUACUCCUAACUCAAACGCUGUCUAUUACUUCAUGAAGGGCGCCACCAGCGUGAAGGCGGACACAAUUGGCUCCCUGCAUCACGUACUGUGCCAAGCCAAUCCUCUCGGCGUGGACUGGUAGGCUGCGAUCGAAGAAGCUCCAGCUUAUUUGGUUGAGGAAGACCUCAAGUCAUGAACAUGCUUGAAACUUUUGCCCUUUCAAAUGUAUUGUUUUCAGUCACGAAUCCAGGUAGAUUUGACUGUAUGUAAUAUGGUGGAUUACUUGCCGUCGGGAGAACACAUUGAAGCUUUCUGUGUAAGAUUUCAGUUAGCCAGGAAUAUUAUAAUGUGACUAUUUCACUACCAAAGACUUAUUGCAUAAGUAGGAGAAAACAAUACUCUUAAUAACACUGGUGUGCCAUUUAUUUAGCUUUCUCUUUGUGAUGUUACAAUUUCAGUUAGUGUUUGUAUUGUUAUUAAUAUAAGUAGACGAGACUGUAUUUGUGAGGCCGCUGGUGGUGUGUGAUGAAGUCCUGAGUAGACCAGUACAGUUAGAGUAUACAGUAUCCAGACGAUUCUCUGUUUACCAACGUUUGAGUAAUAAACUUAUGCAGCUACGAACAAGAGGCCUGCUGGCUCAGAAACAACCCUGAGCCACCAGUAUUUAAAGAUCAAAUUAAAAAUUGCUUCCCUACGUCACGCCGAAUGUGAGAACAACACACUUAAACAAUGCCAGGUUAUGUGGUAUGACUGUGUAAUGAAAGUUACUUUUUUGCUCUUGUGAUGCAAGUGAUAUGUGGCGUGCCUGGGAGUGAUUUUUUUUUUUAUGUAGGAAGGACACUGGCCAAGGGCAACAAAAAUCCAAUAAAAAAUAUGCCCACUGAAAUGCCAGUCCCGUAAAAGCUUCAAAGCAAUGGUAAAAAAUUAAUGAAUAAGUAUCUUGAAACCUCCCUCUUGAAGGAAUUCAAGUCAUAGGAAGGUGGAAAUACAGAAGCAGGCAGGGAGUUCCAGAGUUUACCAGAGAAAGGGAUGAAUGAUUGAGAAUACUGAUUAACUCUUGUGUUAGAGAGGUGGACAGAAUAGGGGUGAGAGAAAGAAGAAAGUCUUGUGCAGCGAGGCCGCAGAAGGAGGGGAGG